rnacentral:misc_RNA from 1 species
GAUGAAGAACGCAGCGAAAUGCGAUAAGUAAUGUGAAUUGCAGAAUUCAGUGAAUCAUCGAAUCUUUGAACGCACAUUGCGCCCAUUAGUAUUCUAGUGGGCAUGCCUGUUCGAGCGUCAUUAAGUCCACUUAAGCCCUGCUUAGUGUUGGGAGACUGCUCCAGCGGUGCUACCCUGUAGCUACCCUGCAGCUCCUCAAAGACAGCGGCGGAGUUGUGGUAUCCUCUGAGCUUAGUAACUUGUUCUAGCUUUCGAGUACACCACUUCCCCUGCCGUAAAACCCUGAAUUUUUAAUGGUUGACCUCGGAUCAGGUAGGAAUACCCGCUGAACUUAAGCAUAUCAAUAAGCGGAGGA